rnacentral:lncRNA from 1 species
UGCUUAAUAAUAUCAAACAUAGAAGAGUUUAUAAAAUGGGGACGACGUUGUCAAUUUUGAAACUUGAAGCUACUUGAAAAUGAAGCUCUUGAACUGCAGCACUUACCAGCAUCUGGGCAGUUGAGGGGUUGGUGGAAUUUGGUUGGCUCCAGGUUGCUUGACCUUGUCAAUGUGAUAAUAAGAUGAUAAUUUUAAAGGGAUCGGUCUUCGAUUUCAUCGGCGAAAUGCAAGAUUUGAGCUGCAUUAUUAUUUUUUAUAUCCCUGUUGUUGCGAUGAAGACAAGAAAAGUUAAAAUAUAUGUAAAUAAAAUCGAUUGACCUGACCAUGCCUUGUUCCCCACUCCCC